GAGUAGCGAGCUGGGAGCCGGCGGGCGGGGGCUGCUGCAGACAGGCGCGGGAGCCGGCGCAGCGGCAAGUGCAGGUCGGACGCACGGACCGGGCCCAUUUCCCUUUCACCGACAGGUUGCUAGGUUGCCCUUCUGUGAGCUCUUCAGGGGACUUCUCCUUUGCUGGAUUUGGCAUCACUGGCCCCAGAGAAGGAGCAACUCCAUGGAAACGGCAUGCAGGGCUGUCCAAAGUGAAUGACCAUGAAGGCAGUGGCUGGAAAACUGCUCCACUUUUCUCUGGCUUAGAGAGCAGAUUUAGCAGUGAGAACUUCUCACUGAACGCCACAGAAAUUAAAGACACAGUUGUUGGAGUUAUGAUGUCAGAGAGCAUUUGCCACCAAGGUUGGCAGUAAAUGGCUGUUCCAGGAGAGCUGAAGAUGAAUUUCCACAUCUGCAGAUCUGGAUUUGUUUGGACAGUACUCGACUUGUGGAGUCAAGUAAGUGCGAACACAGGGUCUGCAUAAUAAAAGGAAAAAGAUGCA